GCAAUCUCAGAGUGCUCUGAGGGACACGCGUAAUAACCAUCCUGAGCUGAUUGUGAUAUUACGUAGGGUAGGUAUCAAACGAACGUCGUUUGAUAGAUGGGAAUAACCAUGUCAGUGAUGACAUAGCGAUAGGCAACCCAACA
rfam:Vibrio ezurae NBRC 102218 DNA, contig: VEZ01S15.